rnacentral:lncRNA from 1 species
ACAAUGGUAAAUCUAUUGUUAGGUCAAAAGGAGCAAUGCCACAUGAUCCCCUCUCGCCAAAAUGUUAAGCUUGGUUUCUUCUGCUUCUUACACCGCCACAAAUCCUUCUCACUGAGAAGAACCUCCCAAAGAGAAGACGAAAAGAAUGUUUUGCUUGGAGCGCUCAAGUCGUGUAGCUUCUCGGGAGACCUGGAAAGAGGUAAAAGACUCCACUUGGAAGCGAUCGAGAGAGAGCUCCAUACCGACGUCUAUAUCGCAACCUCGCUUGUUCAUAUGUACGCCAAGUGCGGCAGCA